GACGAACGCUGGCGGCGUGCUUAACACAUGCAAGUCGAACGGAAAGGCCCUGCUUUUGUGGGGUGCUCGAGUGGCGAACGGGUGAGUAACACGUGAGUAACCUGCCCUUGACUUUGGGAUAACUUCAGGAAACUGGGGCUAAUACCGGAUAGGAGCUCCUGCUGCAUGGUGGGGGUUGGAAAGUUUCGGCGGUUGGGGAUGGACUCGCGGCUUAUCAGCUUGUUGGUGGGGUAGUGGCUUACCAAGGCUUUGACGGGUAGCCGGCCUGAGAGGGUGACCGGGCACAUUGGGACUAAGGGACGGCGCAGACGCCUACGGGAGGCAACGGGGGGAAAUAUGACACAAUGGGCGGGAGCCUGAUGCGGCAGCGCCGCGUGCGGAAUGACGGCCUUCGGGUUGUAAACCGCUUUCGCCUGUUACGAAGCGUGAGUGACGGUAAUGGGUAAAGAAGCACCGGCUAACUACGUG
rnacentral:rRNA from 1 species